ensembl:snRNA U2 U2 spliceosomal RNA
AUCGCUUCUCGGCCUUUUGGCUAAGAUCAAGUGUAGUAUAAGGAUUUGUAUCUUAAUUUUAAUCAAUUAAUUAACUAAUUUUAAAUGCAGAGAUAUAGAGAAUGAACUCCCAUUCUGGUGAUUUACUUCCC